GACGAACGCUGGCGGCGUGCCUAAUACAUGCAAGUAGAACACACAGUUUAUACCGUAGCUUGCUACACCAUAAACUGUGAGUUGCGAACGGGUGAGUAACGCGUAGGUAACCUGCCUGGUAGCGGGGGAUAACUAUUGGAAACGAUAGCUAAUACCGCAUAAUAUUGAUUAUUGCAUGAUAAUUGAUUGAAAGAUGCUAUUGCAUCACUACCAGAUGGACCUGCGUUGUAUUAGCUAGUAGGUGAGGUAACGGCUCACCUAGGCGACGAUACAUAGCCGACCUGAGAGGGUGAUCGGCCACACUGGGACUGAGACACGGCCCAGACUCCUACGGGAGGCAGCAGUAGGGAAUCUUCGGCAAUGGACGAAAGUCUGACCGAGCAACGCCGCGUGAGUGAAGAAGGUUUUCGGAUCGUAAAGCUCUGUUGUAAGAGAAGAACGGGUGUGAGAGUGGAAAGUUCACACUGUGACGGUAUCUUACCAGAAAGGGACGGCUAACUACGUG
rnacentral:rRNA from 1 species